rnacentral:tRNA from 1 species
GCUUCGGUAGCUCAGCCUGGUAGAGCGUUACCUUGGUAAGGUAAAGGUCGCGGGUCCGGAUCCCGUCCGAAGCUCUA